rnacentral:rRNA from 1 species
GCUUGUCUCAAAGAUUAAGCCAUGCAUGUCUUAGUGUAAAUAACUCUUAUGAAACUGCGAAUGGCUCAUUAAAUCAGUUAUCGUUUAUUUGAUGGUCCCUUACUACAUGGAUAACCGUAGUAAUUCUAGAGCUAAUACAUGCACAAAGGCCCGACUCACGAAGGGCUGUAUUUAUUAGAUGGAAACCAAUGCAGGGCAACCUGGAAUAUGGUGAUUCAUAAUAACUCGCGGAUCGGUUUACCGAUGCAUCAUUCAAGUUUCUGCCCUAUCAGCUUUGGAUGGUAGGGUAUUGGCCUACCAUGGCUUUAACGGGUAACGGAGAAUUAGGGUUCGAUUCCGGAGAGGGAGCCUGAGAAAUGGCUACCACAUCCAAGGAAGGCAGCAGG